rnacentral:rRNA from 1 species
CCUACGGGUGACAGCAGUGAGGAAUAUUGGUCAAUGGCCGGAAGGCUGAACCAGCCAAGCCGCGUGAAGGACGAAGGUGCCAAGCAUUGUAAACUUCUUUUGUCAAGGGACAAAAUCAGGCUCGAGAGCCUGACCGAGGGUACUUGAAGAAAAAGCAUCGGCUAACUCCGUGCCAGCAGCCGCGGUACUACGGAGGAUGCGAGCGUUAUCCGGAUUUAUGGGGUUUAAAGGGUGCGUAGGCGGGCUGUUAAGUCAGCGGUAAAAGCCCGGGGCUCAACCCCGGCGAGCCGUUGAAACUGGCUGUCUUGAGAUGUCGAGAGGUAUGCGGAAUGCGCAGUGUAGCGGUGAAAUGCUUAGAUAUUGCGCAGAACUCCGAUUGCGAAGGCAGCAUACCGGCGGCGAUCUGACGCUGAGGCACGAAAGCGUGGGUAUCGAACAGGAUUAGAUACCCCUGUAGUC